AGGAUUAGAGGAUGAGUUCUUGAUGGGAUAUGAAGCCUCCAUUGCUAUACCACACAGUCCUUGUUUGUCUCUGAUCCCACGUUCCAUCCUUAUGUAACCUUUCUCACCCCAUUCCGCUCCCCAUGAGUUCUUCACUAUCCAGUACUUGGUUCCAUCCAAGGUUGUUCCAUACCCCACUGCUGCUACCCCAUGGUUCAGCUCUGUCCCACAUUCUCCCGUGAAUACCCCCUCGGAGUAGAACUGGAAAUCCAUACUCCCAGCAUCAAUAGCCACUGAAACCGGCUGGUUUGCAACAGCUUUAAGCAGAGCAUCCUCGUCGUUAGCUGGCACAUUCUCGUGCCCAUCGAUAGCCACU
rnacentral:lncRNA from 1 species